CUAACAUUACUUGUUUGUAGAACUGGCGUCUUCACCAGAUGUCCCCAGUCAGCUCGUCUUCACUUAACGAACUUCACAGGACAGGCAAAAUCACACAAGUUGCAUCAUGCACUUGAGGGGCGUUGCUUACUAGAGCAUGUGCUUCACAAAAAAAAAUUAUCCAGCAUCUACAAGGGAUGUAUGUUCUAUUUAUAUUAUUGGCUAAUUUAUUUGCAAACAUGGCCUUUAAGUUGUUCACAAACUCAUCAACCGCUAGUAGCUAGAUAGACUGAGUUUAAACAAGGUUUGGCGCAGCAGAAGCAGGAACUAACUAGCUAACAAGUUAGCCAUCCAGCUAACUAGCUAACAAUUUAGCCAGCCAGCUAACACGUUAGCCAGCUAUCUAGCUAACGUUUGCUAGCUAAUCUCGUGCCUGCACAGAAUGCUUACCAGCCGUCCUGCGCGCAGGUUGUUCGCUUUAGGACUAACCCGAGUUCAUCUUAUUUAGCUAGCUAGUUAGCUAUGGACUCAAGGCCUUUAAUACGAAGUGUUUUAUUGCGAAAUGACGACUCACCUUAUCAAAACCUCAACCGAGAAUUCGCAACGCGAAUUUCUUAUUCUAGCCCUCAGUCACCGUCUCCUCAAGUACCUGACAUCACAGAGACCAGCGCUGGACUGGAGUGGUUUGAAAUGGGCCUAGCGACCUCAUCUGGUCCCGCGAGGAACAUAACGGACCAGGGAGUACCGCGGUCUCCUUAUGUCACUGGGUCAGCCAGCACCCAAAGCUCUCCACUCAGCACUCAAACUGUCCCUGUCUUCAGAGAGAGGAGGGUUUAUGCACCAGCCCAGCCAGUGAGAAGCGGAUCUGAAGAGGACCUGUCUAGUAAAGAAGGGAUAUCGGAGGAAAGGGGGAGCAGAACAGGGAAAGACAGCAGACCCAGCCUGGGAGAUCUGUUUGAUUAACACACUGACUGAUUUGUAACUGCAGCUGAGUUUUUAAUGAUAUUGAAUUAUUUCCACUGAAAUACUGGUGAACUCUGAUUUGAGAUUCUCAUUUUCAAUGUAGGACUAUUGUAGAUGGUCUUUUAUUAAAGUAACAUACAAUUCCUUACAGAUGACCUAGUUUGAUCCCCUCCUGUUUGUAAUAUUUUUCAUCAGUUUUGCAAUAUGUCAAUGUUUUAAUAAAAUAUCAUCAAAAAGGUUGAAAUAGUAUAACAUUUAAAAUUCCCAAAGUGAAAUAGUUGUCUACUGACAACCACUAAAUGUCACUGUUGUAUUAUUUCCUCUCUACCACCUUCCUCUCCUCAUACUGCUGGGUGUGUGAGUGAGAGGUUAUCCUGUGAUCUUGUACUUCACUGAGAAAAAUGAAACAUGAACUAGUAGGUCAUCUUUGAUAGUGUCUAAGAGGGCAUCGGGUCACCCCCUACUUGUUCUGACCCUUCAGCCCUCCAUGACAUAGAAAGAUGUGAAUAGACAAACACUGAAGUUUUCGUCUGAAGUGGAUGUGAAGUUAACAGGAUUGGGAAUGUCUGGGACAGAGAAGGGUAAUGACAUUGUCAUACUAGCCAUCCCCAAAUGUGUGCCUAUCUGGGGCUUUUCCACAGACUGGCAGAUGGGCCAGGUACUCUAGAAACUCAUCAGUUUGCUAAACAACAGCCUUACGUAGAACUGAUUUGUAUAUUCAGUAUGCUGUGAAACGUAAUGAGUAUGUCUCUACGUACAGUGGAAAAUACCUGAUAUAUAAACAUAUAUUAAGAAGAAUGAAUUAGGGAACCCUUUCAAGAGUAUGCAGGCCUUCUUAAGCCUUUGCGUGAAGAACGAGAAAUAGUUGGAUUAUUGAAUUCAAUGAGACUCCUCUACCCUUGAGUGGGUGACCUACUCAUCCUCAGGGCCUACUCAUCCCCCACCCACACACACUUUACCCUCCAUCCCUUACACUCUCUGAAAAACAUUUACAGUGGGGGAAAAAAGUAUUUAGUCAGCC